AUUGAACGCUGGCGGCAGGCCUAUCACAUGCAAGUCGAGCGGAUGAAGGGAGCUUGCUCCCGGAUUCAGCGGCGGACGGGUGAGUAAUGCCUAGGAAUCUGCCUGGUAGUGGGGGAUAACGUCCGGAAACGGGCGCUAAUACCGCAUACGUCCUGAGGGAGAAAGUGGGGGAUCUUCGGACCUCACGCUAUCAGAUGAGCCUAGGUCGGAUUAGCUAGUUGGUGGGGUAAAGGCCUACCAAGGCGACGAUCCGUAACUGGUCUGAGAGGAUGAUCAGUCACACUGGAACUGAGACACGGUCCAGACUCCUACGGGAGGCAGCAGUGGGGAAUAUUGGACAAUGGGCGAAAGCCUGAUCCAGCCAUGCCGCGUGUGUGAAGAAGGUCUUCGGAUUGUAAAGCACUUUAAGUUGGGAGGAAGGGCAGUAAGUUAAUACCUUGCUGUUUUGACGUUACCAACAGAAUAAGCACCGGCUAACUUCGUG
rnacentral:rRNA from 1 species